GAUAACUGUGGUAAUUCUAGAGCUAAUACAUGCAAAUAGAGUUCCGACCAGAGAUGGAAGGAAUGCUUUUAUUAGAUCAAAACCAAUCGGUGGCGGGCUUGCCUUGCUCACCGUUUGACUUGGUGACUCUGAAUAACUUUGUGCUGAUCGCACGGUCUCGUACCGGCGACGCAUCUUUCAAAUGUCUGCCUUAUCAACUGUCGAUGGUAGUUUCUGCGACUACCAUGGUUGUUACGGGUAACGGGGAAUCAGGGUUCGAUUCCGGAGAGGGAGCCUGAGAAACGGCUACCACAUCCAAGGAAGGCAGCAGGCGCGCAAAUUACCCACUCCCGGCACGGGGAGGUAGUGACGAAAAAUAACGAUACGGGACUCAUCCGAGGCCCCGUAAUCGGAAUGAGUACACUUUAAAUCCUUUAACGAGGAUCUAUUAGAGGGCCAGUCUGGUGCCAGCAGCCGCGGUAAUUCCAGCUCUAAUAGCGUAUAUUAAAGUUGUUGCGGUUAAAAAGCUCGUAGUUGAAUCUGUGUCCCACACUGUCGGUUCACCGCUCGCGGUGUUCAACUGGCAUGUCUGUGGGACGUCCUACCGGUGGGCUUAGCCCGUCAAAAGGCGGCCCAACUCAAAAUCCUACCACGGUGCUCUUCACCGAGUGUCGAGGUGGGCCGGUACGUUUACUUUGAACAAAUUAGAGUGCUUAAAGCAGGCUCAUUCGCCUGAAUAUUGUGUGCAUGGAAUAAUGGAAUAGGACCUCGGUUCUAUUUUGUUGGUUUUCGGAAUUCCGAGGUAAUGAUUAAUAGGGACAACUGGGGGCAUUCGUAUUGCGACGUUAGAGGUGAAAUUCUUGGAUCGUCGCAAGACGGACAGAAGCGAAAGCAUUUGCCAAAUGUGUUUUCAUCAAUCAAGAACGAAAGUUAGAGUUUCGAAGGCGAUCAGAUACCGCCCUAGUUCUAACCAUAAACGAUGCCAGCUAGCGAUCCGCCGAAGUUCCUCCGAUGACUCGGCGGGCAGCUUCCGGGAAACCAAAGCUUUUGGGUUCCGGGGGAAGUAUGGUUGCAAAGCUGAAACUUAAAGGAAUUGACGGAAGGGCACCACCAGGAGUGGAGCCUGCGGCUUAAUUUGACUCAACACGGGAAACCUCACCAGGCCCGGACACCGGAAGGAU
rnacentral:rRNA from 2 species